UUCUCAAGGCUAACGCAAGGAGGUGCAGACUUUUUUUUAUUAGGCCUCUUCCAUCAUCCGGAUUGUUGCCGUCUCCGUUUCCCAAACCCAACCUAAUUCAUGAAGAAAGUCCGUGAUUUCUUCAAUAAACGGAGAUUAAGAAGAACAUAUACUUUGGAGGAUAGCAGGUCGGAUGCCUCUUUUGUACAACCCCCUCUGGAUGAAGAAUUAGUGUCAUUUACAUCAGUAAAACAUACAA